rnacentral:rRNA from 1 species
CCUACGGGAGGCAGCAGUGGGGAAUAUUGCACAAUGGGGGAAACCCUGAUGCAGCGACGCAGCGUGAGUGAAGAAGUAUUUCGGGAUGUAAAGCUCUAUCAGCAGGAACGAGACAAGACGGUACCUGACUAAGAAGCCCCGGCUAACUACGUGCCAGCAGCCGCGGUAAUACGUAGGAGGCAAGCGUUAUCCGGAAUCACGGGGUGUAACGGGAGCGUAGACGGCUGAGCAAGCCUGAGGUUAAAGGCGGGGGCCCAACCCCCGGACUGCGUUGGGAACUGGACGGCUGGAGUGCAGGAGAGGUAAGUGGAAUUCGUAGUGUAGCGGUGAAAUGCGUAGAUAUUAGGAGGAACACCAGUGGCGAAGGCGGCUUACUGGACUGUAACUGACGUUGAGGCUCGAAAGCGUGGGGAGCAAACAGGAUUAGAUACCCGAGUAGUC